rnacentral:rRNA from 1 species
AACGGGUGAGGAACACGUGAGAAACCUGCCUUUCAUUCUGGGAUACACGGGAAACCGGUGCUAAUACCGGAUACUCCGUCUUGGCGGCAUCGCCGAGCCGGGAAAAAUUUUGAUGAAAGAUGGUCUCGCGGCCUAUCAGCUAGUUGGUGAGGUAAUGGCUCACCAAGGCGACGACGGGUAGCCGGCCUGAGAGGGCGACCGGCCACACUGGGACUGAGACACGGCCCAGACUCCUACGGGAGGCAGCAGUAGGGAAUAUUGGGCAAUGGGCGCAAGCCUGACCCAGCGACGCCGCGUGAGGGAUGAAGGUCUUCGGAUUGUAAACCUCUUUCAGUAGGGAAGAAGCGAAAGUGACGGUACCUACAAAAGAAGCACCGGCUAACUAUGUGCCAGCAGCCGCGGUAAUACAUAGGGUGCAAGCGUUGUCCGGAAUUAUUGGGCGUAAAGAGCUCGUAGGUCGUUUGUUACGUCGGAUGUGAAAAUCUGAGGCUCAACCUCAGACCUGCAUUCGAUACGGGCAAACUAGAGUUGGUAGGGGAGACUGGAAUUCCUGGUGUAGCAGUAAAAUGCGUAGAUAUGUGGAGGAACACCAAUGGCGAAGGCAGGUCUCUGGGCCAUAACUGACACUGAGGAGCGAAAGCGCGGGGAGCGAACAGGAUUAGAUACCCUGGUAGUCCGCGCCGUAAACGAUGGGCACUAGCUGUGAGAACCUUCCACGGUUUUCGCGACGCAGCAAACGCAUUAAGUGCCCCGCCUGGGGAGUACGAUCGCAAGAUUAAAACUCAAAGGAAUUGACGGGGCCCCGCACAAGCAGCGGAGCAUGCGGCUUAAUUCGACGCAACGCGAAGAACCUUACCAAGGCUUGACAUAUAGCGAAAAGUGGCAGAGAUGUCAUGUCCGCAAGGGCGCUAUACAGGUGGUGCAUGGUUGUCGUCAGCUCGUGUCGUGAGAUGUUGGGUUAAGUCCCGCAACGAGCGCAACCCUCGUUCUGUGUUACCAGCAUUUAGUUGGGGACUCACAGGAGACUGCCGGGGUUAACUCGGAGGAAGGUGGGGAUGACGUCAAAUCAUCAUGCCCCUUAUGUCUUGGGCUGCACGCAUGCUACAAUGGCCGGUACAAGUGCUGCGAAAUCGUAAGAUUUAGCGAAUCACAUAAAGCCGGUCUCAGUUCGGAUUGAGUCA